GAUGAACGCUAGCGGCAGGCCUAACACAUGCAAGUCGAGGGGUAUUUGGAGCUUGCUCCAAAGAGACCGGCGCACGGGUGCGUAACGCGUAUGCAAUCUACCUUUUACUAAGGGAUAGCCCGGAGAAAUCCGGAUUAAUACCUUAUAGUUUUUAGAAUUGGCAUCAAUUUUAAAAUAAAGAUUUAUUGGUAAAAGAUGAGCAUGCGUCCCAUUAGUUAGUUGGUGUGGUAACGGCAUACCAAGACGAUGAUGGGUAGGGGUCCUGAGAGGGAGAUCCCCCACACUGGUACUGAGACACGGACCAGACUCCUACGGGAGGCAGCAGUGAGGAAUAUUGGUCAAUGGACGCAAGUCUGAACCAGCCAUGCCGCGUGCAGGAUGACGGUCCUAUGGAUUGUAAACUGCUUUUAUACGGGAAGAAACACCUCUACGAGUAGAGACUUGACGGUACCGUAAGAAUAAGGAUCGGCUAACUCCGUGCCAGCAGCCGCGGUAAUACGGAGGAUUCGAGCGUUAUCCGGAAUCAUUGGGUUUAAAGGGUCCGUAGGCGGAUUAGUAAGUCAGGGGUGAAAGUUUGCGGCUUAACCGUAAAAUUGCCUUUGAUACUGCUAGUCUUGAAUAUUUGUGAAGUAACUAGAAUAUGUAGUGUAGCGGUGAAAUGCAUAGAUAUUACAUGGAAUACCAAUUGCGAAGGCAGGUUACUAAGAAUAUAUUGACGCUGAUGGACGAAAGCGUGGGUAGCGAACAGGAUUAGAUACCCUGGUAGUCCACGCCGUAAACGAUGGAUACUAGCUGUUUGGAUUUAGGUUUGAGUGGCUAAGCGAAAGUGAUAAGUAUCCCACCUGGGGAGUACGUUCGCAAGAAUGAAACUCAAAGGAAUUGACGGGGGCCCGCACAAGCGGUGGAGCAUGUGGUUUAAUUCGAUGAUACGCGAGGAACCUUACCAGGGCUUAAAUGUGUUUUGACGUUAUUGGAAACAGUAAUUUCUUCGGACAAAAUACAAGGUGCUGCAUGGUUGUCGUCAGCUCGUGCCGUGAGGUGUCAGGUUAAGUCCUAUAACGAGCGCAACCCCUGUUGUUAGUUGCCAGCGAGUAAUGUCGGGAACUCUAGCAAGACUGCCGGUGUAAACCGUGAGGAAGGUGGGGAUGACGUCAAAUCAUCACGGCCCUUACGUCCUGGGCCACACACGUGCUACAACGGCCGGUACAGAGAGCAGCCACUUGGCGACAAGGAGCGAAUCUACAAAACCGGUCACAGUUCGGAUCGGAGUCUGCAACUCGACUCCGUGAAGCUGGAAUCGCUAGUAAUCGGAUAUCAGCCAUGAUCCGGUGAAUACGUUCCCGGGCCUUGUACUCACC
rnacentral:rRNA from 1 species